UAGUGAGUUUGAUCCUGGCUCAGGACGAACGCUGGCGGCGUGCUUAACACAUGCAAGUCGAACGGACUCCAUCCAGUAGCAAUACUGGGGAAGAGUUAGUGGCGAACGGGUGAGUAACACGUGAGAAACCUGUCCUGGUCUCUGGGAUAACAGUCGGAAACAACUGCUAAUACCGGAUGCCGUCGGAGCGUCGCAUGGCGCGCUGAACGAAAGGGUUACUGGAUCGAGGAGGGUCUCGCGGCCUAUCAGCUUGUUGGUGGGGUAACGG
rnacentral:rRNA from 1 species